GCCUGGGUGGCUCAGCUGGUUGGGCGUCCGACUUCAGCUCAGGACAUGAUUUCACACUCUGUGGGUUCGAGCCCCGCGUCAGGCU
rnacentral:tRNA from 1 species